CCCCGAGGCAGCGGCGGCGGCGGUCGCCAUGCGGAAGUCGUGCCGGGUUCAACGCUGCUGCAGCGCCGCCGGGCAGCCCCGGGGCUCCGAGCGCCGCUUCAGCUUCUCCGAAAACUGACAGUUCAUCACCGAAAAAAGCCCCCCUACGGCCACCAGGUGAUGCGGGGACAACCGCCGGUGACACCGGGACAACUGCCUGCCCCCACAUUUGUCCCUGUCACCGUGGAACCUGGCGCCAUCCCAACCCUCAUCUAUGCUGAGAGCUCCAUCAGCAUCCUACAGCUCC
rnacentral:lncRNA from 1 species